rnacentral:rRNA from 1 species
UGGGGAAUAUUGCACAAUGGGCGCAAGCCUGAUGCAGCAACGCCGCGUGAGGGACGACGGCCUUCGGGUUGUAAACCUCUUUUAGUAGGGAAGAAGCGAAAGUGACGGUACCUGCAGAAAAAGCACCGGCUAACUACGUGCCAGCAGCCGCGGUAAUACGUAGGGUGCGAGCGUUGUCCGGAAUUAUUGGGCGUAAAGAGCUCGUAGGCGGUCUGUCGCGUCUGCUGUGAAAAUCCCCGAGGCUCAACCUCGGGCCUGCAGUGGGUACGGGCAGACUAGAGUGCGGUAGGGGAGAAUGGAAUUCCUGGUGUAGCGGUGGAAUGCGCAGAUAUCAGGAGGAACACCGAUGGCGAAGGCAGUUCUCUGGGCCGUAACUGACGCUGAGGAGCGAAAGCGUGGGGAGCGAACAGGAUUAGAUACCCUGGUAGUCCACGCCGUAAACGUUGGGCGCUAGAUGUGGGGACCAUUCCACGGUUUCCGUGUCGCAGCUAACGCAUUAAGCGCCCCGCCUGGGGGAGUACGGCCGCAAGGCUAAAACUCAAAUGAAUU